GGAUUAGAUACCCUGGUAGUCCACGCCGUAAACGAUGCGCACUAGGUUCGGGAGGUUUUGACGCCCUCCGAGCCGAAGCAAAAGUGUUAAGUGCGCCGCCUGGGGAGUACGGUCGCAAGGCUAAAACUCAAAGGAAUUGACGGGGGCUCACACAAGCGGUGGAGCAUGUGGCUUAAUUCGAAACAACGCGAAGAACCUUAUCCUGGGUUUGACAUGCAUGGAUUAGCAGCUGGAAACAGUUGUGACGCGGCUUGCCGUGGAACAUGCACAGGUGCUGCAUGGCUGUCGUCAGCUCGUGCUG
rnacentral:rRNA from 1 species